rnacentral:rRNA from 1 species
AAUCUUGUGGAAACACGAGAGUGCCUCGCAAGAGGAGCCUGGGAGACAGGUGCUGCAUGGCUGUCGUCAGCUCGUGUCGUGAGAUGUUGGGUUUAAGUCCCGCAACGAGCGCAACCCCUAUCUUUUAGUUGCCAUCAUUGAGUUUGGGCACUCUAAAGAGACUGCCGGUGUCAAACCGGAGGAAGGUGGGGAUGACGUCAAGUCCUCAUGGCCUUUAUGACCAGGGCUACACACGUACUACAAUGGCCGGUACAAAGGGCAGCGACACAGCGAUGUGAAGCGAAUCCCGAAAAGCCGGUCGUAGUCCGGAUCGCAGUCUGCAACUCGACUGCGUGAAGUCGGAAUCGCUAGUAAUCGCGGAUCAGCAUGUCGCGGUGAAUACGUUCCCGGGUCUU